AUUGAACGCUGGCGGCAUGCCUUACACAUGCAAGUCGAACGGUAACAGGUUAAGCUGACGAGUGGCGAACGGGUGAGUAAUACAUCGGAACGUGCCCGGACGUGGGGGAUAGCUCGGCGAAAGCCGGAUUAAUGCCGCAUAAGCCCUGAGGAGGAAAGCGGGGGACCGUAAGGCCUCGCGCGUUUGGAGCGGCCGAUGGCAGAUUAGGUAGUUGGUGGGGUAAAGGCUUACCAAGCCUACGAUCUGUAGCUGGUCUGAGAGGACGACCAGCCACACUGGGACUGAGACACGGCCCAGACUCCUACGGGAGGCAGCAGUGGGGAGUUUUGGACAAUGGGCGAAAGCCUGAUCCAGCAAUGCCGCGUGCAGGAUGAAGGCCUUCGGGUUGUAAACUGCUUUUGUACGGAACGAAAAGGCGCCUACUAAUACUGGGUGUUGAUGACGGUACCGUAAGAAUAAGCACCGGCUAACUACGUGCCAGCAGCCGCGGUAA
rnacentral:rRNA from 1 species